GUUCCAAAUGAAUGAGACACCAGGCCAGAUGGGGAGCAAAAGAGAGUAGAAGCCCCAAAUCAGAUGGUGCUGGAUCAGCCCCAGGGCAGGCUGCUGUCUCCCAGUCCAGACAGAGAAGCUGAACCAGAGCCAGCAGACACAAGGGAGAGCCUGAGCGCCCUGCUGUAUUCAGCAGGCACCCACUGCCUGGGCGCCAUAUUCGCUCCUGUGUGCUGGGGAACACCAGCGAAGGCAUGUGCAUUGGACGGAUGGAUGAGUGGAUAGAAAUGGAUAAACAAACAGAUGGACGAGACAGAAGAACAAAACAGGCACCUACUCCUGGCAAAAGCCCCAGUGGAAAGAGGCAGCAGCGUAAGUACUGGCCACCAGAGCCCAGAGGCUGCAGCAGCCAGGGAUGAACAGCCAGGAUGAACCACUGCUCCUGGGCCAGAAGGCUCUUCCUUCCCCCAGGAUUCUCUGGGGAUUAAUUUCUGAAAGUCUCCUUUAUUUUCAUGGGGGAGGGUAGAGAAGCCAACACACCAGCUAGCAAAUUUAAUAGCUGCUCUUUGCAGAAUGUGCUGGAGAGGCAGGCACACACAGCCUAUGCCCCGCAGAUUGGCAGCAGAGUUCAGUGGCUGGUAUGGCUGAGGCACUUGGCCUGCAGGCCUGGACCAGGGGCAUCCACGGUAGGGACCAGACACUGGGCUGCCAGGCUGGGCCCGGGGUGCGCUGACUGCAGGGGGAUGCAGGCAGGUGGGGCCCAGGAGACAGAAAGUGAUCCUGUUGCACAGUUCUCAGAGAUAUUCCACUGACCACGGGAAGCGGAAAUUCCUGUGCCGAGUCAGCUGUGGGAUUUGGGGGCCUGCCUAGCUCUGUAUCCCUCUCUCUCCUGCAUCAUCUGGUUGGGCUUGUGGAAGUAAAUGUAGAGGGUCUCUACAAGCAGGGACUGGAUGGUACAUCUUAUCUAUUGCCUUGAACCGUGGGAACAAGUCCUGGUGGCCACUCCGAGUCCUGUUGGCCACAGAGCAGAAGGGGAACUUGAUGGUCUGGUUUGGGAGUCACCAAAUGCAUUCUGUCCAGGACCCAACAGUAACUCCUCCAGGGUGGUGAUUCUCGGACUCUGCGGAUACUGUUCAAUUCUGCUGUGGUAGUGCAUUGCAAAAACACCCAUAGACAACAUGUAAAUGAGAACACGGCUGUAUCCCAAUAAAACUUUAUGAACACUGAAAUAUGAUUUCACAUCAUUUUCAUACGUCACAGAAUAAUCUGUUUAUUUUUUUUUAAAGCCGUGUAAAAAUGUAAAAACCAUCUUGAGCUUGUGAGCUGUAUGAAACAGGCAAUGAGCCAGAUUUGGCCCAUAGGCGAUAGCUGGGGUAGGUACAAUUUUCCCAAAGUUUGUUCUCUGUGAUGCCCACAGAUGCUUCAUGGGGUAAGGGUUCUAUGGUGAAACAGGAGUGGGAAAUGCUGGGCCAAAGUCUUUCUUACUGCAGGACUUACACGGUGAUACCCAUUGUACAAUCUUGAAAACGGGACAAGAAGUCUGUUCAACUUCCAGGGAAGUAUGUUGAUUCUGGAGCAUCUCCUACAUCUAAUUUUCUGUGGACCCCAAUUAAUGAGGAUGAAAUCUGGCCAACCAUCAGCAGCAGUGCCACCAAUGGAAAUCCAGCCUUUCUUUGAACAUCUCCAGUGACAGACAGCUCACUACUAACCAUGGGUUCCUACUGAAUUCAGUGACUUCUCUGACUUGUUUUCCCACCCAGUGAUGCUGGGUCCCAAGUAACAAAUCUAGUGCAGUCUAGCGCACCCUUCACCACAGAUAAACCUUUAUGUUUAAUAAUAUAAAUAAAGCUUUCCUCGUUUGAUUUACUGAUUCAAACACCAAAUAUAAACUCCAUUUAUCCACCGGAUAAAAUAAAGAGUUGUUAUUAAGUCAUGGGGUAUGGAAGUGUGGCUUACCACUCAGUUCCUUUAAAAAGAAGACUCACUUAGGGGAGUUAAACUCAAAUUAAAUCUCAAUUUACUCCCAACUGCAUGAAAAGCAGGAUAUACCAUUUCACUAUGGGGGCAUUCUAACUUUAAAAAAAAAAAAAAAAGCCUAUGCAAGCCAAGAUCUGUCUGCUACAUAGGGCGUCAUCUGUAAGGGAUAUAGAAAUUUUAUGUACAUUUGUCUAAAAUGUAAAAAAGGGGGAUAGGGAAGGAGGUGAGGAAGAGAGUGAGACGGAAAUGUGAGGUAUGUGACUCUGCCACCAAGCACCACUGAAAACACAAAGUAGAAGAUGCUGAUGAGAAAUGUCACCAGCACCAUGAGGCACUUAAAGGGAGAAAUGAAGUCAACGGUGUCACCCAUGUGAUUACGCUCUGCCCAGGUGCUCUCCAUUUCGCUCAACUGGUCCGGUUUCAGGUACAGUCAGCACAGCAGUGAAUGCACCUAUUUAACGCUAUUAAAGCCAAUAGGAUUAUUUCUCCCUGAAAGGCUUGUUACAUAUUUUCUAUGGGGCCCUAGGAGAUAAGGAUAGAAUGGCCUAGGCUAUGUAUACUAUGCUAAUGUAAAAUGACACAUGCAUAUAUUUAGGAAGAUAAAAGGAAAGACUGGCAUUUUUCUUUCUCCUUAUUUCAACAAAUCACUCCCCAGACAGUAAAGCAAGUAGAAUAUAUUUUCAAUUCAUGGAUUAGAUGUGUCUGUUUCCUGGAGCAAUAUUGAAAUAUAGCAGCAUGGGAAUAUGAGGUCAAUAAGCAAAAGAAAAAGAGUAAUUCUAAAGGCUCUAUCUUUGUUCAAGGAGCUGAUAGAUAUAUUGGCAAAACCAGGCUUUGAAGCGAGCACAAAACCCUGAAUCUAUAAAGGGGCUGAGCAGCUAUACAACCCAGCCAGUGUAGACNNNNNNNNNNNNNNNNNNNNNNNNNNNNNNNNNNNNNNNNNNNNNNNNNNNNNNNNNNNNNNNNNNNNNNNNNNNNNNNNNNNNNNNNNNNNNNNNNNNNNNNNNNNNAACAUCUGGAAGUUCACGGUUCAUGUAUUGCUGAAGCCUGGCUUUGAGAACUUUGAGCAUUACUUUACUAGAGUGUGAGAUGAGUGCAGUUGUGUGGUACUUUGAGCGUUCUUUUUUAAAAAAUAUACAUUUAUUUAUUUUAACUAGAGGUUAAUUACUUUACAAUAUCGGAUUGGUUCUGCCACACAUCAACAUGAAUCCUCCACAGGUAUACACGUGCUCCCCAUCCUGAGCCCCCCUCUCCCCUCCCCCCCAUACCAUCCAUCUGGGUCGUCUCAGUGCACC
ensembl:lncRNA